CGGCUCGAAGUGCGAAGAGAGACUGUAUCCUUUUAACGUAGAUACAAGUGGAUGGCAAUAUAAGCAGAGAGGUCGUCAGUUUCUUCUACCCCGUUGUUAGGACGAGAUACCGAAUUAUCGAGAGGAUCUCCUUUAUUUCUGGAACGUCACAUCAGAAAAUAGAAUCAUUGACAGUGGCGCCACCCGACGUCCUGUAUUCCAUUUUACACCAUUAUUUUCAGGAGAUCAAAACGUAACUGUGGUCGUCAGAAAUCAAGUUGUGAAGGGUAAAGGACGACCAUAACAGUCGCAUGCAUUAUUUCCACGAAAGGAGCCAAAGGCCGCCUAGAGGAGUCACCAGUUUUACCCACUCGCACCACUACACAUAAGGGAACCUUAACGUUGCAAUUUGUGCUGUCGUGAUGUCAGUAAAACGUGCGUUUGCCAUGAAUCACGA